GAUGAACGCUGGCGGCGUGCCUAAUACAUGCAAGUCGAGCGAACAGACGAGGAGCUUGCUCCUCUGACGUUAGCGGCGGACGGGUGAGUAACACGUGGAUAACCUACCUAUAAGACUGGGAUAACUUCGGGAAACCGGAGAUAAUACCGGAUAAUAUAUUGAACCGCAUGGUUCAAUAGUGAAAGACGGUUUUGCUGUCACUUAUAGAUGGAUCCGCGCCGCAUUAGCUAGUUGGUAAGGUAACGGCUUACCAAGGCGACGAUGCGUAGCCGACCUGAGAGGAUGAUCGGCCACACUGGAACUGAGACACGGUCCAGACUCCUACGGGAGGCAGCAGUAGGGAAUCUUCCGCAAUGGGCGAAAGCCUGACGGAGCAACGCCGCGUGAGUGAUGAAGGUCUUCGGAUCGUAAAACUCUGUUAUUAGGGAAGAACAAAUGUGUAAGUAACUAUGCACGUCUUGACGGUACCUAAUCAGAAAGCCACGGCUAACUACGUG
rnacentral:rRNA from 1 species